ACCAGCAUAUGUUUUUGUUACUGAUUUGGGUUUACAUCUUAUAUUGCUAUUGGCCCAUUCUCAUGUUUUAUUGGUUUUUUAUAAAAUUAAUUAUGCAGCCCAACUAAGAGUUUUUCAUCGUCUUCUCACCUUCUUCUCUGCCCAUUUUCUCAGAAAACAAAAGCUUCAAUCGAUUCAAAGUAACGCAUCUACCUUCUACUAAUAAGCUAUUAAAUCCGAGAUUUUAAGUUAAUUAUCCCACUACUCGCACUUUAAAGCAUACAAUCGACCUUUUUGGCUUCCAAGCUAACCGACUAAAGUUGUGAGUAUAAAUAUCACAUCUUGCACCGAUGAACAGCAGGACGUUAGGAAAGGCAGUGAACUCAUGAGUUUUGACAUGCUACUCAUCGAUGAGCAGGUGGAACAAGAUCCACGAGAAGCUGAGGUCUUCAAAAGUACCAUUUGUGCAAAAGGAUUUUUUAAACCUUCACAUCUCUGUCAUGCUUCUGUUUGAGUUAACCUUAUUGUUCUUGAUAGGCCAUUCAUGUAAGCAUUUUGACUGGGUUAAGUAUCUGAAUGGAUUCAGGCCAUUUUUUUAUUUGGAAUUGAUCCUGCAGAGAUGGUGUCUGCGUAAUAUUUAUGUUCCUAUUGUAAACUGAAUUUGAUAUUUAUGGGUGUUUGUUCU